GUAUCAAGAAAACUAAUGAAAUGGAAUAUUAUAUUAAUAUGAAUUGGGCUUGGGAUAUGAACCCGAAACAGAUCCUCAAUCGGGCCCAGCCAAACAACAAAGUCGACCCGCAAACUCUCUCCUUGGCUGUUAUUAAUUUGAUCAACUCUGCAACUGCGAACUUCAUUUUUCGGGAUUUUCACGCUUGGACUCAGGCAAGUAUCUUUCUUUACCUAUCAAAUUAUGAGUUCUGAGGAUUUUGCUGCUUGAAUGUAUAUCAAGUUUUCAUGUGUGUACGUUUCUUCCAUUUAAAUCCGCAAUUUAUCUUCCUUGUAUUGUAUGAAGAUCUCUAAAAUAAAAAAAAAUAAAGAGAGAGAGAGAGAGAGAGAUGAAGCAUAUCUGGAAUAGAGAAUACUGCGAUAAUGUAUAAACUGUUUGGUGCAAAAGAUUCUUCUCGUUUGGAUGGUUAGAUUGUGAUUCUUCUGAUAAAUUUCUUUCAGUUAAUCAUCCGUGCUUUUUAACCAAUUUAUGUGUCUGAACUUUAUGAUUUGGGAUGAAACAAUCAAAAAUCCUAAAACUGUGGAGGCGAAAUUAGGUGAUCUAAACAUGGUAUUUGACUAUUUGGAAAUUGGAAUGACUGAUCAUAUUAUGGAAAUUUCACAAGAAACAAGAACUAGAUUUGAGAUUUUUUUAGCAACAAUUUUUUCUGGUUUCCAUGAAACUACAGCUUCAAAUUGGCGCAGGAUGUCUACAAUUGAGCCACGCUUCAGGCCAAGAGCAUGCGCACACACACACUUAUUUAAAAGGAGCAUUUGAUAAAAUCACCUCAGGGAUAGGGAUCUACAAUAUGCCUCAUGGGAUUGGAAAGAAGGAAUAAGAACUUGUUUGCUGUGGUGAUCAAUACGGGAAGAGCUUUGCAGGCUAGUUUUUCUUAUCCAAGUAUUGAUAUCUUGAAAGCUUAGUGAUUCCUGAAUGACUUGAGAUUAGUAGCAUUGAUGCAACCUCCUUAUCAUUUUGUGUUGUUUGGUUUAUGUUUGCUAAUAAGUUAUUUGCAUUUA